rnacentral:rRNA from 1 species
GACGAACGCUGGCGGCGUGCCUAAUACAUGCAAGUUGAGCGCUGAAGGUUGGUACUUGUACCGACUGGAUGAGCAGCGAACGGGUGAGUAACGCGUGGGGAAUCUGCCUUUGAGCGGGGGACAACAUUUGGAAACGAACGCUAAUACCGCAUAAAAACUUUAAACACAAGUUUUAAGUUUGAAAGAUGCAAUUGCAUCACUCAAAGAUGAUCCCGCGUUGUAUUAGCUAGUUGGUGAGGUAAAGGCUCACCAAGGCGAUGAUACAUAGCCGACCUGAGAGGGUGAUCGGCCACAUUGGGACUGAGACACGGCCCAAACUCCUACGGGAGGCAGCAGUAGGGAAUCUUCGGCAAUGGACGAAAGUCUGACCGAGCAACGCCGCGUGAGUGAAGAAGGUUUUCGGAUCGUAAAACUCUGUUGGUAGAGAAGAACGUUGGUGAGAGUGGAAAGCUCAUCAAGUGACGGUAACUACCCAGAAAGGGACGGCUAACUACGUG